AGCCGGGCGGGAAGAAGCAGCGCUGGGCUCAGAGCGUAGGAGGGGCUAGCGAGGCGCGUGCGCUGACCGAGCCACUGGCGCGCGUUUCAGGGCAGUAGGUGAGCGGCGCGCGGGACCUGGGCGUCCGUGCAGCACUGUGUCGCGGAUAGAGGUGCUGGCUGGUCGCUGUUUCCGCGGGAUCAAGAGUCUAGGGAGUUUCUACUCGGGACAGGGCCUCUGUUUCCUCCUCGCAGGCUCGUUGAGACUACGAGGUGUGCGUCCGGAGGCUGCGGGGCUCGGCGCCCUCACAUUCUCCUGGCGGAGAUUGCAGCAGGCUUUAUUUAGGUGUCCUCCUCUCGACUCUUCGCUUUGGGAGAAGACAAGGUGCUCUAACCAGAACGUGGGAGAGUGGAGUCUACCCUGCAAGCUACAGAGCCUGUUUGUAUCCUGGCUGGCUGGAUUCUGCUGUCCUCCUGUAUAAGAAAUAAGCAAACAGUAUAAAGAAAAAAGAAUUUAAUAGUUUGAUCAAACUGCCCUUGGUCUUAGGGAAGCAGUUACAAUUUGUAGGAACAGAAGUCAGGAUAUAUAUAUAUAUACACACACACAUGGAUACAUAUGUAUGUGUGUGGGUGUGUAUAAUUUAUUUAUUUGCUAGGCUAUACUAACUAGAGGACAUUUCAUUUUCAGCUUUCUUGACCACUGCCAGGGACGUGGGGUAAAGUUUCCAUUCUCAGCAUGAGGAAGUUAGGGAGCUAAAACAAUUCAGCCUUUAAGUUCAAAGGGUCUCUGUUUCAGUAGGAUUACCAUGAACUGCUCUUCUGAAGUGAGGUUUUGCACUGAGAACUGUACAAUGAGCCAGCUUUGUGACUGUUUCAGGCGGAAGGGUAGGCAUGGGAUUUUACGUUUAUGUAAGGAUUGGUAGUCUGGAUCUUGCCAGUCAGGAUCUAUAUUAAGAGAUCUAGGGCUGGGGAUGUGGUUCAAGCAGUAGCGCACUCGCCUGGCAUGUGCGGGGCGCUGGAUUCGAUCCUCAGCACCACAUAAAAAUAAAGAUGUUGUGUCCACCGAAAACUAAAAAAUAAGUAUUAAAAAAUUCUCUCCCUAAAAAAAAAAAAAUCCAUAUGGAUGGACUUCAGAGAACCAUGAACUAAUAGAGUUGAUAAAAUACUAUACAUGUAUGUAUUUUUGUAGGCUGAAGAUAUACAACAUUUAUCAGGGUCUUGUUCAUUUGAUUUUUUGAGAUGGGGUCUCUAUUAUCCAAGCUAGUGUAUAAUUUUUUUAAAAAAAUUUUUAGUUGUAGAUGGACACAAUACCUUUAUUUAUUUAUUUGUAUGUGGUGAGGAUUGAACCCAGUGCCCCACAUGUGCAAGGCAAGCGUUCUACCACUGAGCCACAACCCCAGCCUUAGUCUAGGAAUCUUUGAGCUCAAGCUCUCCUCCUGCCUCAGCCUCCCAGUAGUUGGGACUAUAGGCCUACAUGCUUGCCCCAUCAUGGGCCCUCCAACCCCAAUAUCUCAGGAGAGCCAGUUAAGAAUCUUUAAAGCUGGGCAUGGUGAUGCAUUGCCUGUAAUGCCAGCUACUUGGGAGGCUGAGGCAGGAGGAUUUUAAGUUCAAGGCUAGCCUGGGCAUUUUAGCAAGAUCCUGUCUAAAAAUAAGAUGAAAAGGACUGGGGAUGUAGCUUAGUGAUACAGUGCUUGGCUCGCAGAUGAGGGGCCCUAGGUUCAAUUCCCUACAUGAAUAAAUAAAUAAAUAGAUGGGAGUGGGGAAGAAAGGUUAAUGAGCCAGGCAUGGUGGUGCAUGUCUGUAAUCCCAGUGGCUUGGGAUGCUGAGGCAGGAGGAGCCAGUCUCAGCACUUAGAAAGACCCUGUUUCAAAAUUAAAAAAGGGCUGGGGGUGUGGCUCAGUGGUUUAGGUGUCCUAGCUUUAAUCCCUGGUAUCAAAAAAAAAAAAAAAAAAAAAGGUUAGUGAAUGUGUAUUAAGGAGUCUUUGGUUAGUUCCACUUUCAGGCUACUUUUUUUUUUUUUUGGUACCAGGGAUUGAACUCAGGGUCACAGUACCACUGAGCCAUAUCCCUGGUCCUAUUUUGUAUUUUUUUUAGAGUCAGGGUCUCACUCAGUUGCUUAGCACCUCGCUGUUGCUGAGGCUAGCUUUGAACUCACGAUCCUCCUGCCUCAGCCUCAGCCUCACGAGCGGAGCUACUGGGAUGACAGGCAUGCGCCACCUCGCCUGGCUUCAGUAUACUAUUACAAAAUGUCAAUGCUCAUUGAUGCUGUGCUGAGUGAAGGACCCUGCAGUGCAGUACUGACACUGCUCACCUGCUGUCUGGAAAGACCUGUGCACCUGCUUUCAUAUGAUCAUUUCAGAUUAAAAUACCAUUUAUCUGAGACUGAAAAAAUGAGCACCGCAGGGGUCUCUCCCAAGCGCCUUUGAAAAGGCCAAACCAGAAUCCACUGGUUAGAAGAAACAGUAUAAAUAGUUCAGACUGCUGCAGAGAUAUUCUCCAAUAAUAUCUCCUAGAAACUGAAAGACUUUUUUUUUUUUUUUAAUCCAGGGACAUCUUAUUAUUGAGCUUUCCCAGUCUUUUUAUUGUAAGGGUCUUGCUAAGUUACCCAGGCUGGCCUCAAACUUGCAAUUCUCCUGCUUCCGCUUCCUGAGUUGCUGGGAUUACAAGUGUGUACCACCGGCUCUAGCAAGACUCUUUAAGUAAAACGAUUUUUGUGAAAUGUAUACCCCUGAGAUGAUCCCCAUGUCUGGGUUGAUGGUAUUUGGAAGUGAGACCUUUGGGACCUAAUUAGGGUUAGAUGAGUUGAGGGAGGGGCCCUUUUGGUGGGCUUUAUGAGAGAUCUGAGCUGAUGCACACUUGCUCAAUGUUGUCAUGCGAUGCCCUUUACCAUCGGAUGAUGCAGCAAGAGAGUUCUCAGCAGACUUCAGCUUCAUGUUCUUGGACUUCCCACUCCAAAACUGUUAGCCAAAUAAACUAUUCUGUGUAAAAAUUA